ACAGUCCGGGUCGAGACCUCAAACGAGUCGUCUGUGGUCUCUUGGUGGGGGAGGGAGUGUCUGGGUUCCGUUCGCCCAAAAUGAAAGUGUAGUGUAGCGGCUUAGGCGGUGUCGGAGAAUCGAGCUCUCCCUAAGGGUUCGAUCACAGGAAAACCUCGUCUCCUCGCCUCUCCACCACCACCACCACUCAGGGCGACGUGGGCGUGGGAGGGAGCUCCGUAGAUAAGUGUGCGAGGUGUGCUGCAUUUUUGUAGGUGGAGAAUGGCGAGGAGGGAGCGUGUGUGCUGGGCAGCGGGCGGUGGCGGUGAUGCUGUGGUUAGCGGUGGACGUCCCCUCCGCUGCCGCCGUCGCCAGCGAGUCCUGCUCCGCCGUCAAGAGUGUGUACCAGGCUCAGGGCUUCCGCGAGACCGUCCCAUCGCAACCUAUAUCAGGUGAGAGUGAGAGUCGAGGAGCAUUGGCCGGGUGGAGGAGAGCAGGAGAGGAGGUGGAGAGGUGAGCGUGUGGGCGGCUGCCGGGCGCGCGACACAGCCUCGACGCGCCAGCACCCACAAUGCAGCCGCGCACCCCUUUCUCCCCUGCCUCGAUGUCCUGCAGUUAACAGUCAUGCCUCACAGACCGCCAGGGGGAGUGAGGGGACGCAGGAUUGCAGCAACAACACCUGCCACGCCACACCUCAUUUGCACAUCUUGACGGACAAGUUACUCGCGCGCUCCCUUUGUGUCGCGCGCUGCUGAUUGGCUCGGGAACACAUGGAGCGGGGAAUGCAUUUGAUUGGCUGGUCUGGGCCGCGCUGGGGUUGAGUGGGCGGGACUUGUUCGUCAAUUUAAUUCGAAAAGAAAAUGUUGGCUUCUUAUUCUU